rnacentral:rRNA from 1 species
CCGCCGCGCGCGGCGGGCCUACGGGAGGCAGCAGUGGGGAAUAUUGCACAAUGGGCGCAAGCCUGAUGCAGCCAUGCCGCGUGUAUGAAGAAGGCCUUCGGGUUGUAAAGUACUUUCAGCGGGGAGGAAGGCGUUGAGGUUAAUAACCUCGAGCGAUUGACGUUACCCGCAGAAGAAGCACCGGCUAACUCCGUGCCAGCAGCCGCGGUAAUA